CUAGAGCACAUUAACUGCUAUAACACCUAGAUGGAUUUUGAUGCAGUACUGAGACUGAAUUUUUCUAGACCAGGGAAUGCUUUUUGAAUGGACUCUGCUAUAAAAUAAAUCUUAGUCUUGGCCCUAGUUUUAGGCAAUAGUCAUGAGGACAUCUCACACAUUUAAUAUUUUCAGUUUGAGACAUCAGUCCACUAGAGGCUCUGUCACUAAGUUCAGGAAAGCAGUUUCACACUCAGUUUGCUCAUGGAAAAAUUAAUAGCCUAAUACAUAGCACUUUACAAACAGAAUUCCUUUCAAAAUGCAGCCAGCCCUGGGGUUGAACACAGUUGUUUUAGCCAAGCACAGUACAAUGUGUAACAAUUCUGGACACGUGAAACAGUAUCAGGAGUCUAAGGCAGAAUAUGAUUAUCCAAAUCUGCACGAGGCCACUACAGUGGAGCCAAUACUCUGACAUGGGUAAAAAGCAUCACAGAACCUUUAAUGAUCAGGUGGCUUGCACCUGAGUAUUUCUAGCACCGCAGUAAUAGCAUAACCAUACUGGGGCACUGGUACAUUGAGUCACUGGAAGAGUAUUACCUAGGGUUGCCAGUUCUGGUUGGAGGGAUGGCAACCCUAGCGCUACCUGUUGAAUUACCAGCACUGCGAAUUGCAGUACUCUGAGUUUUUCCUUGAAGGUCUCUAAGGAAAGUACUGACCCAUCUUGGUUUAGCUUGAGAACUCUCUCAAUCCCCACUGAAGCUGGUAUGUGUCCAGAAUUGUUACUUUGUAUUACACACAUGUCUCCUUUAUACCUUCCCCCCCCUCUGUAUCUGCAUUUUAGCAUAGGGUUAGACAAGAUGACCCUUGUGGUCCCUUCGAGCCCUAUGGUUCUAUGAUUCUAUGUCUUCAGCCUGUUUAAUGACAUAUAUCAGAAUUUGAAAAGCUUUUCAUUCUCCAAUUAAUGUGAACUUACUGCCUUUACUUAUUGAAAGCCUCAUUAGUUUGAAGCUGACAACUUCACAAUGCGAAUUUACUGAGAGCUCUGAACAGUAACAGUUACAGUGUUAGCAUUACUAUAGGAAAUUUACAUCUGUUUAUUUCCUGAUAAGACACUGUGGCUUAUGAAAUUUUUUUAAAAUGCGGGCGUGAAAAAUGUUGGCAUUCCUAUCUGGUCUCUCUGUUUUUAUGCAUUGCCGAGCUACCACAUGAUUUGCAAAGACUGGUGAUCUCUUUAGAGGCCAGGACUGGAAUUACCAGGUCAUGACUGAAGUGCAUUAAUAAAACUCUUUUGGUCCCCUGUACUAGAAUAAGACUGGCACUUGGGAUUCAAGAUACAUUGGCAAUAGGGCCAUACCAAGAUCCCAUUCUAGCUUUAUGCAUUUUUAUGUAGCAAACUAUCUUUAGUGGUGGUUUCUCAUGUGGUGUUAUAUGGCCAUUGGGAAAUGUUCUUGUAAUAGCCACAAUGUUUCUGCUUGGUUGGCUGAAAAAAACAAUGAUGCUAUGAUGAUCUUUCUCCAUCCUCGAUGUAUCAUUCUCUUAAAAGGAUGCUAUGGGGCUCACUACCAGGGAUUUGGGGACUUCUGGACAAAGACCAGUGACUGAGUAAAGAGGGGGCAUCCCAGGGAAACAUUUUUAGUGGAAUCUGUCAUUAUCAAGCCUAGAGGAAUUUUUGCUUAGUGACACAAGUAGUCAUUCUUCCCCUCCACAGGAGGUGGGCAAUGCUAUCUGUGACCCAAGCUCUAGGAAUCUGCAACUGAAAAUUAAACUCCCCAAGUGGUUUUAUUAUGCUGGAUAUGCAUCUCUUAAAUAUUUCCACCCAAGCAAUUUAUUAAACAUUGUGGCAGUUAGUCUGGUAAAGUUGCCUUACAGGAAAACUCUGCCAAAGAAGUUCAGAAAACUAGCAGUUCCAUUUUUAGCAAAAUCAGCCUUAACAUCUGUCACCACUACCCAGCCGUAACAGUGCGUCAGACAGAACAAAGCAAAAGUUGAUAAUGAAAACUGGGGCACCCCUGUGAAUCUAGUCACUAUCAACUACUGAGUUGCAUAAUUCAUCACACGU